AUGCCUAGCCGUAAAUAUUAACUCACACCACACACGCCAGGGAAUUACGAGCUUAGCUUAAAACCCAAAGGACUUGACGGUGUCCCACCCAACUAAAGGAGCCUGCCCUAGAAUCGAUAACCCCCGCUUAACCCCACCAUUUCUCGCUUAUCAGUUAGUAUACUUCCGUCGUCAGCCUACCACAUGAGUGUGCACAGUGGGCUCAAKGGUCUUUACACCAAAACGUCAGGUCAAGGUGCAGCUUAAGAGAUGGGCUGAGGUGGGCUACAAUUUCUAAACGAACAUACGAAAUACCCAAUGAAACAAGGUCAUGAAGGUGGAUCUAGUAGUAAGAAGAAAAUAGCGUGUUCUUUUUAAUAACGGCACUGGGACGCGUACAAACCGCCCGUCACCCUCUUCAACAAUAAUUAAAAUAGUAUAUAACACCAAAUGUACACCUAGAAGAGGCAAGUCGUAACAAGGUAAGUGUACUGGAAAGUGCACUUGGAUAAA
rnacentral:rRNA from 1 species